GUGUUACUCCGGUAGCACAUAUACUAAAAUUGGAACGAUACAGAGAAGAUUAGCAUGGCCCCUGCGCGA
ensembl:snRNA U6 U6 spliceosomal RNA